rnacentral:rRNA from 1 species
CCUACGGGAGGCAGCAGUGAGGAAUAUUGGUCAAUGGCCGAGAGGCUGAACCAGCCAAGUCGCGUGAGGGAUGACGGCCCUACGGGUUGUAAACCUCUUUUGUCGGGGAGCAAAGAGAGUCACGUGUGGCUCAUUGAGAGUACCCGAAGAAAAAGCAUCGGCUAACUCCGUGCCAGCAGCCGCGGUAAUACGUAGGGGGCAAGCGUUGUUCGGAAUGACUGGGCGUAAAGGGUGUGUAGGUGGUUUGAUAAGUUAGAUGUGUAAUACCCAGGGCUUAACUCGGGUGCUGCAUCUAAAACUGUUAGACUUGAGUACUGGAGAGGAUAGUGGAAUUCCUAGUGUAGCGGUGGAAUGCGUAGAUAUUAGGAGGAACAUCAGUGGCGAAGGCGACUAUCUGGACAGCAACUGACACUGAGGCACGAAAGCGUGGGGAGCAAACAGGAUUAGAUACCCGGGUAGUC